rnacentral:lncRNA from 1 species
UAUAUAUAGAGAGAGAGAGAGAGAGCAGGGUUGCUGUGCUCUCAAGAGCACAGAAGCCUCCGUGCUUCUGAGCCGUUUUCGAUGAUGAAGUUUUCGAAUCGACGAUCGGCUCCGUUAAACUUGAUCUAGCGUAUUUGAAGUUUCUAGAAAAUAAUUUUUGCGAUUUUUCGUAUCAUUUAUCUAGCAAUCGAAAGGAUUCAAAAUUAAUAAUUUUUAACGGCUGAAAAUAAAAAUUCUAUAAAAAGUGGUGAUAUAGCACUAAAAUUUUCGAUCAGAAAUAUUGAUCUUGUUGUAAAUAGUAUAAAAAAUUUUGUAUCAAAAUUUCAUCUGAUUUUAAUACUUCUAUACCGUUAAACUUGAAAACGGCAGAUAUCAACCAUUAAAAAUUAUGGAUUUUGAAUCCUUUCAAUUACUAGGUAAAUGAUAUCAAAAAAUUGCAAAAAUUAUUUUCUACAAACUUCAAAUGCGCUAGAUCAAGUCUAACGGAGCCGAUCGUCGAUUCGAAAAUUCCAUCAUCGAAAAUAGCUCAGGAGCACGGAGGCCUCCGUGCUCCUGAGAGUAUAGCAG